AAAUUUUUAAUUUAAAAAAAAUUUUUCAUUUACACUGAAAAUUUAAUAUAAAUAUAUUAAAAUUUU
rnacentral:tRNA from 1 species